CUACGGGACGCUCCAGUGGGGAAUAUUGGACAAUGGGCGAAAGCCUGAUCCAGCAAUACCGCGUGUGUGAAGAAGGCCUGAGGGUUGUAAAGCACUUUCAAUAGGAAGGAAUACCUAUCGGUUAAUACCCGGUAGACUGACAUUACCUAUACAAGAAGCACCGGCUAACUCCGUGCCAGCAGCCGCGGUAAUACGGAGGGUGCAAGCGUUAAUCGGAAUUACUGGGCGUAAAGCGUGCGUAGGCGGUUAUUUAAGUCAGAUGUGAAAGCCCUGGGCUUAACCUGGGAACUGCAUUUGAUACUGGAUGACUAGAGUUGAGUAGAGGAGAGUGGAAUUUCAGGUGUAGCGGUGAAAUGCGUAGAGAUCUGAAGGAACACCAGUGGCGAAGGCGGCUCUCUGGACUCAAACUGACGCUGAGGUACGAAAGCGUGGGUAGCAAACAGGAUUAGAUACCCCGGUAGUC
rnacentral:rRNA from 1 species